rnacentral:sRNA from 1 species
CGGAUUGAUGCCAGCCAGUUCCGGGAACUCUUUGCCAGCCUGACACCCUGGGCCUGCGGCUCCCACACGCCUGUGCUGGCAGGGCGCAUGUUCAGGCUCCUGGACAAAAACAAGGACUCGCUGAUCAACUUCAAGGAGUUCGUGACGGGGAUGAGCGGGAUGUACCACGGGGACCUGACAGAGAAGCUCAAGGUGCUCUACAAGCUACACCUUCCCCCAGGUGAGAGCCUCCUGCCCACUCUCCCAGCCAGGGUCUCCCACUUGUCCAGAAGUUCAGCUGCAGAGGACAGGCCUCUGUGAAACUGUGAGGCCUCGAGGGGGCACAGCGGCUCCGCAGGCUGGAGGUUCACAUUGGAGGAGAGAGAGCGGGAGCUUGGGCACCUGACAGAGGUCUGAGAGCAGGGCCUUGGCCUGGGAAGGGACAUGGAGGAGAAUCCCAUGGGUGACCGGGCACCACUGGGAACAGAACUCCCACCGAGGAGGCAGCUGGACCCAAAACCCACGAGGAGGGUCAUGAGUGGAGCUUCAGGGCUGGAACUGAAACUGCUGCAUUUAUUUGUCAAGUUUCUUAAGGGUUUAUUCCCAGAGGUUCAGCUAGAGAAUCCUGUCACAUGGCCAUGAGGAGGGGCCACUUCUCUCUGGCCUCUCAGUGGUGCUGUAGCCUAGCGGAGCUACAUUGGCGACAGGCUGUCUGCACAGGAGGGAGGGCUCAGCGGGGGUGGCUGCAUGGACAGUGCUCCAAGGAGGGGUCAUCUCCCUCAUCACAGAAGGAAACAAAGGCGCAGGCAGGUGGAAAUCCUGGGCCGGGCACUCUGCUGUGGCUGGACCUGCCCCAGGUCCCUGCUGUCGCUUCGCCAUCUGAGGUCAGCAGCUGCCCUCAGAACCGACCCCGGGGAUUUUUAGAAUACUGGGACUGAGCUUCACCCGAGGAGAUUCUCAUCCGAUUGCCUGUGAUGGGGCCCAGACCUGUGGUUUUUAAAGCUGGCAGGCCAUUGCUCUGUGCCUCCAGAGCUGAAAGGCUCUUGACACAGCUGUUCUCGUUUGUGGCUGGCUCACCAGAGAGGCCCUGAUAGGACAGACCCCACUGGGCCUGGGUCCCAGGGUUGAGCGCAUGCAGGGCUACCCUGAGACUCCUAAGACUCCUGAGCCUCCUCAGCCUGCUCUGCCCUGUCCCGUCCAGACACAGAGAACACUUGGGCUGUGGUGGGCUGUGGUCCACACCCUGCUACACUCACCCAGGACCAUGCGAUCCGCAACCCUGGGUACUGCUUGGUGACCUCCAGCAAAGACUGCACUGAAUGAGGCAGGUCAGCACGCACAGCGCGGCACGACCUCUGAGCUACCCAAAGGGAGAGCAGCAAGUUGCCUGUGCGUGGCUGGUUCCUGCAUGCCCAUAGGAGCAUGAAACGCCCCCAAAGGGCCCACUGGCCAGAUGGUCACUGGGGCAGGAGGGCAGCUGCCAUUCACUGGACUCCUAAUUGUGUUGAUUGGAUUUUUACCUGGGACAUAUAUUUCCUUUUCAAACACAAUGUCAAAGUCAGGAAAGCGGCUGGACGCAGUAGGAGGCCCAGGUGGGUGGAUCACUUGAGGUCAGGAGUUGGAGAGCAGCCUGGCCAACAUGAUGAAACCUGUCUCUACUAAAAAUACAAAAAUUAGCUGGGCGUGGUGGUGUGUGCUUGUAGUCCCAGCUACUUGGGAGGCUGAGGCAGGAGAAUCACUUGAACCCAGUAGGCGGAGGUUGCAGUGAGCCAAGAUCAUGUGACUGCACUGCAGCCUGAGCGAUAAAGUGAGACUCCAUU